AUUGAACGCUGGCGGCAGGCUUAACACAUGCAAGUCGAGCGGGGUGAUGGUGCUUGCACUAUCACUUAGCGGCGGACGGGUGAGUAAUGCUUAGGAAUCUGCCUAUUAGUGGGGGACAACAUCUCGAAAGGGACGCUAAUACCGCAUACGUCCUACGGGAGAAAGCAGGGGAUCACUUGUGACCUUGCGCUAAUAGAUGAGCCUAAGUCGGACUAGCUAGUUGGUGGGGUAAAGGCCUACCAAGGCGACGAUCUGUAGCGGGUCUGAGAGGAUGAUCCGCCACACUGGGACUGAGACACGGCCCAGACUCCUACGGGAGGCAGCAGUGGGGAAUAUUGGACAAUGGGGGGAACCCUGAUCCAGCCAUGCCGCGUGUGUGAAGAAGGCCUUAUGGUUGUAAAGCACUUUAAGCGAGGAGGAGGCUCUUUUGGUUAAUACCCAAGAUGAGUGGACGUUACUCGCAGAAUAAGCACCGGCUAACUCUGUGCCAGCAGCCGCCGUAA
rnacentral:rRNA from 1 species